GGGCAGACCAGGUGGGCCAUUUCCCCCCCAUGCAUUACCCUUCCCCCACCCGUCAAACACGGAACAGGGAUGCGUCACAGGACAGAAGUCCACCAAGAGACAAGCGCCUUGCGAAGCAGAGCGUGCCAGACGGAGCAAGGAAAGUCCCAUGAUGCGCGUGGUGCUCUAGUUUUCUCAGUGCUCCCUGGAAAACCGCACUGCGGCUGUCUCUGACUUGGGAUCUAAUCUUAGUGCCUCCUACGCUGUAAGCCCGAAAUUACUGAGCAGCACAGCGGAGGCGCCACUGGCUGCAGGAGGUCUGGCUCACUCUCAGACUCUGGGCGGCGUCUGGUGAGCCGAAUCCACUAAACAGCUCCAGCCAUGUGCCUGAGUGCUGGGAGGGGUGUGGCAGCCGUCCUCCUUCCCAUGGCAGGGUCCCCUCUGUGUCUCUACUUCCCCCAGUUCUUCGCUGGAGGGACUUGUCCUCAGCUAGGCUGCCACCUCCUCCAGGCAGGCUUCCCUGACCACCCUGCCUUGGGUUGGACUUCCUGGGCCGUGGGGCUUUUUGGUUGUCACUGUCUGGCUUCUGCCUCCCCCACCAGACAGUGGCUCCCUUAGAGCAGCACAGAGAGGCCACCUUAUCCUGCACAGCUCAAUGCAUCAGCCUGGACCGAACCCUGACUCCCUGCGAGCUUCUGACAGGGUCCAGCUUCGUCUCUGGAAUGUUUGUGUGACUCUCCACCCUCCCUGCAAGCGUCUCUGGAAGCUGCCGUGUGUUCCUUUCUGGGAGCUGUUUGAUGAUGUUUCAACUGAGCCAGUGUCUGUACAGCAGAUCUCUUCUGCUGACCCCACUCUUGUUUCCAGCUUCUUACUUCUCAUUACCGCUGUUCUCCGUCAAGGUCUCCAGAGAGAAGAAGAGAUCCAGACGUCCCAGCUCUUCUCUGCUUUUCUCUCUGGAUUCUCGCACGUGCACCAGGCUUUUGGGGCGGACAUGCUUAGGCAUCCCCAGGCCUCUCCUCAUUCGUUCACGAUAGUCACGGCCCCGGGGCCAGCAGACAUCAGACCCACAGGAAAGGAAACCAGGGGACAAGGCUGCAGUGGGAGGCAGAGCUAGGGAGCCUCUCUGAGCCCAGGAGCAGGCGACGCCCACAGGCACAGCUAAUGGUGACAGACGAGUCUCCAGUGAUGCCCGGGGAAGGCACAUCCAACACAAAUUUGAGAAGAACAGCCGUGGGGGCAUUUUUCUGAGCUGAAAUUUGACGCAGAAGUUGGAGAUGCCUGGGAGAGGAGUUGAGGGUGUGGAGAAGGGGGGGCCUCCGGAGACGGAGCCAUGUCCGCAAAGCUCGGGUGGGAGAGAAGGUGGGGUACGUCUGGGCAGUGCAGCGGGGCGUGGGCUUGGGAUAUGGGAGCUGGCCCCAGAGGGCUGCAGUCACAGCAGGGACGGUGGAGGAGAGGCUGUUGGAACUGAAGAGAGCUGCCAUGUCCUGUGGAGAAGGCGAGAAUCGAUCAGGCACCCGAGGGAAGACAUGGGAGGGUCCCCACGGGGGAUCGUGGGUGCAUCUGCAUUUAGUGGAGGACGGGAGUCUUAGAGGACAGUAGGAUAGUGAGGCUGGAAUCAGGGAGAAAAGGGGAAUGGAAAGUGAGGAGCUGGAAACCAAAGUGGAACCAGCCAAGAAGACUCCAUUUAUUAGACAACGGCUGAGAUUGGAAGAGUAGUAACAGCUCCCGCAGAGGAUCAUGGUGUAGCUUACAGAGGCCGAGGGCAACAGUUCUGCAGAGAACGCACAGACGCCCCCACCAGAGGUUUAGGCAAGGAUUCCGGAGACAGAAAUUGCAGCGAUGAAGCUGGACCCCUUUAGAGACCAGUGGAAAAGGCCGGGUGUGGUGGCUCAUGCCUGUAAUCCCAGCACUUUGGGAGGCCAAGGCAGGUGAAUCACGAGGUCAGGAGUCUGAGGCCAGCCUGGUUAAUAUGGUGAAACCCCAUCUCUACUAAAGUACAAAAAAAUUAGCCGGGCAUAGUGGUGGGCGCCUGUAAUCCCAGCUACUCGGGAGGCUGAGGCAGGAGAAUCACUUGAACCCGGGAGGCAGAGGUUGCAGUGAGCCAAGAUGGCGCC
rnacentral:lncRNA from 13 species